rnacentral:lncRNA from 1 species
AGUUGGAGAGAACUGGUGAGCAAGGUCAGCCCAUAAUUCUGUUGCAGGGUCCAGCAACUCUGCUAAUCCAGAGCAACUGGGACUCCCCAAGGCCUCCCCUGCACCCUCCUGACCUGGAUCCAGACCCAGGGGCUGGACACAACAUUUCUGAGAUGACUGACAAGGGCCCUCUGGAGCCCAGCACCCUCACUGCUCUGAGUGUGCACGUCUGGACCUCCAAGGAACUCUGGGCCCCCAGAAACGAUCCAGUCGGAUGUCGCUUGCUACUCUCUCUGGGAUCAUUAUACAGUAAAACCAGGAUCACAUGA